rnacentral:tRNA from 1 species
AAUUAAGUCAGCUAAUUAAGCUAAUGGGUUCAUACCUCAUAAAUAGAAAUAUUUUUGCUCAGAGU